GUUGAAACACUGGUUCUCGUAUGAUCACUGAAGUUAAGCAAUGUUGAGCCUGGUCAGUACCUAGAUGGUUGACUGCUUGGGAAUACCAAGUGCUAUA
rnacentral:rRNA from 1 species